rnacentral:rRNA from 1 species
ACUCCUACGGGAGGCAGCAGUGGGGAAUAUUGCACAAUGGGCGCAAGCCUGAUGCAGCCAUGCCGCGUGUAUGAAGAAGGCCUUCGGGUUGUAAAGUACUUUCAGCAGUGAGGAAGGUGGAUAUGUUAAUAGCAUAUUCAUUUGACGUUAGCUGCAGAAGAAGCACCGGCUAACUCCGUGCCAGCAGCCGCGGUAAUACGGAGGGUGCGAGCGUUAAUCGGAAUUACUGGGCGUAAAGCGCAUGCAGGUGGUUUGUUAAGUCAGAUGUGAAAGCCCGGGGCUCAACCUCGGAAUUGCAUUUGAAACUGGCAAACUAGAGUACUGUAGAGGGGGUAGAAUUUCAGGUGUAGCGGUGAAAUGCGUAGAGAUCUGAAGGAAU